rnacentral:rRNA from 1 species
AGAGUUUGAUCCUGGCUCAGGACGAACGCUGGCGGCGUGCUUAACACAUGCAAGUCGAACGCUGAAGGCUCAGCUUGCUGGGCUGGAUGAGUGGCGAACGGGUGAGUAACACGUGAGUAACCUGCCCUCUUCUUUGGGAUAACGGUCGGAAACGGCUGCUAAUACCGGGUAUUCACUGUCCUUCGCAUGGGGGGUGGUGGAAAGGUUUUUUCUGGUGGGGGAUGGGCUCGCGGCCUAUCAGCUUGUUGGUGGGGUGAUGGCUUACCAAGGCUUUGACGGGUAACCGGCCUGAGAGGGUGACCGGUCACAUUGGGACUGAGAUACGGCCCAGACUCCUACGGGAGGCAGCAGUGGGGAAUAUUGCACAAUGGGCGAAAGCCUGAUGCAGCGACGCCGCGUGAGGGAUGAAGGCCUUCGGGUUGUAAACCUCUUUCGCUCAUGGUCAAGCCGCAACUUUGGGUUGUGGUGAGGGUAGUGGGUAAAGAAGCACCGGCUAACUACGUGCCAGCAGCCGCGGUAAUACGUAGGGUGCGAGCGUUGUCCGGAAUUAUUGGGCGUAAAGGGCUUGUAGGCGGUUUGUCGCGUCUGCCGUGAAAUCCUCUGGCUUAACUGGGGGCGUGCGGUGGGUACGGGCAGACUUGAGUGCGGUAGGGGAGACUGGAACUCCUGGUAGCGGUGGAAUGCGCAGAUAUCAGGAAGAACACCGGUGGCGAAGGCGGGUCUCUGGGCCGUUACUGACGCUGAGGAGCGAAAGCGUGGGGAGCGAACAGGAUUAGAUACCCUAGUAGUCC